rnacentral:rRNA from 1 species
CACCCGAGACUCAGUGAAAUUGAACUCGCUGUGAAGAUGCAGUGUACCCGCGGCAAGACGGAAAGACCCCGUGAACCUUUACUAUAGCUUGACACUGAACAUUGAGCCUUGAUGUGUAGGAUAGGUGGGAGGCUUUGAAGUGUGGACGCCAGUCUGCGUGGAGCCGACCUUGAAAUACCACCCUUUAAUGUUUGAUGUUCUAACGUGGACCCGUUACCCGGGUUGCGGACAGUGUCUGGUGGGUAGUUUGACUGGGGCGGUCUCCUCCUAAAGAGUAACGGAGGAGCACGAAGGUUGGCUAAUCCUGGUCGGACAUCAGGAGGUUAGUGCAAUGGCAUAAGCCAGCUUGACUGCGAGCGUGACGGCGCGAGCAGGUGCGAAAGCAGGUCAUAGUGAUCCGGUGGUUCUGAAUGGAAGGGCCAUCGCUCAACGGAUAAAAGGUACUCCGGGGAUAACAGGCUGAUACCGCCCAAGAGUUCAUAUCGACGGCGGUGUUUGGCACCUCGAUGUCGGCUCAUCACAUCCUGGGGCUGAAGUAGGUCCCAAGGGUAUGGCUGUUCGCCAUUUAAAGUGGUACGCGAGCUGGGUUUAGAACGUCGUGAGACAGUUCGGUCCCUAUCUGCCGUGGGCGCUGGAGAACUGAGGGGGGCUGCUCCUAGUACGAGAGGACCGGAGUGGACGCAUCACUGGUGUUCGGGUUGUCAUGCCAAUGGCACUGCCCGGUAGCUAAAUGCGGAAGAGAUAAGUGCUGAAAGCAUCUAAGCACGAAACUUGCCCCGA